AGUUGGAGAUUGAAACAGAGAUCAAAGCAGUUGCUGAUGAGUUCUUUAAAAUCUUCAGGAGCCAAGCACACCACCUGCCUAAUAUCUGUUCCGAUAAAAUACACAAAAUCUAGGUACAUGAAGGUGACUGGGAGACUCAGGGAUCCGUCAAGCAUUGGAUGUUCAAAUUGAUGAAUGGUAGUUUUUCAUUCAUACUUUCUUUCGUUCAUAUACAGAGUAUAUAUAGAGGGUAAUCACCAUUCUAAGAAUGAGAAAGGAUGAUACAAGGAAAGAAUAAUAUAAGGAAAUAACAACUAAUAUCCUAAUAUCUCAACUUUCCUAAUAUCUCAAUAUUCCUAAUAUCUUAAUAUUCAUAAUAUCUUAACUUUCCUAAUAUCUAAACACUAAAUGAUAUAAGGAAAUAAUGAUAUAAGGAAAACAUUCCUAAUAUCUCAACACUCCCCCUCAAGUUGGUGCAUAGAUGUCACACAUGUCCAACUUGUCUAAAAUUUUUUGAGAAUACUUGACUUGAGACAGCUUUGGUGAGGAUAUCGACUAACCAAUCUUACUUUCCACCUUGGAUCAACUAAGGCUUCUUGCACAUUGUUAGGAAUAACUACAGUAAAUAAUUGAUUUACAAAUGACUUAUUUGAUUCAGACAAACGAUGGUUAGACACAUAGUUGCUCAUGGGAUAUUUGACUUUGGUAGACAAAUCAGGUUCAUAUGUGGGUUUAGGAAUACCAAGAUUAUGACGAUGUGGUAACCGUUUCAUGAAUGGAUCGGGUUCCAAAUUAAGAACACCCUCAACAGACGACGAUUGGUUUGAUAUUUCAGUGAAGACAUCUUCAGACCCAAAUUGUUGACCUCUCAUAUCCAACUCACCCACUUCCUGGUUCACUAGUUCAGAUUGUCCAGAUUCAUUCUCCUUAGAGAUAUGAUAAUCAUAAUCAAGAGUCUGAAUUUCCUUAUGGUACUCCCCCUGAAGUUCAGACUCAGAUGAAAAUUACAUCGAAUCUUCAUGAAACACCACAUCCAUUGUAAUAUACAUUUGUCGAGUUGGAGGAUGGUAACAUCGAUAUCCCUUUUUGUGCAAUGCAUAUCCAACAAACACACAUUGCAAUGCAUGGGAAGUUAACUUAGUGCGUUGGUGCUUGUGUAGAUGCACAAAUGCCACGCAACCAAAAACACGAGGAGGUAGAUUUGGGACGGUUGGGGCAACUACGACAUUAGUAAGAGCUUGGAGAGGUGUUUGAAAGUUAAUUGAGCUAGAAGGUACCCGAUUGAUCAAGUAUACGGCAGAUGUGAUUGCUUCUCCCCAAUAAGAUAUCGGUGUUUUUGCUGCUAUCAAGGAAGCACGAAAAACCUCUAACAAGUGCCGAUUUUUUCGUUCAACGACUCCAUUUUGCUGGGGUGUAUUGGAACAAGUAGUUUGAUGAAUGAUGCCAUGUCCUUCCAAAUACUUUUGAAGAUCAGAACUUUGAUAUUCUCCACCAUUAUCACUACGCAGAACCCGAACCUUUGCAUUGUAUUGAGUUUCAAUCAUUUUAUGAAAUUUUUGAAACAACAAGUUCACUUCAUCUUUGGUCUUCAUCAAGUAUAACCAUGUCAUUCUGGUACAAUCAUCAAUAAAAGUAACAAACCAACGCGAACCACUCAAAGUUGGGACUUUGGAUGGGCCCCAAACAUCAGAAUGUAUAAUCAUAAAAGGAGACGGACUUUUAUUCAAAAUUAAUGGAAAGGAAGCACGAUGGCUUUUAGCCAAUUCACAAAUAUCACAACGGAAACCAGAAAUAUCACUCUUUGCAAACAAACUAGGAAAUAAUUUUUUUAAAUAUCCAAAGGAAGCAUGUCCCAAACGUCGAUGCCACAACCAAAUUUCAGACUUUUUCUUCUCUUCCUCAGAUCCAUCUGCCAUCAAGGCUUGUCGCAACUUAUUUGAAUCAUUUGACUGCAAGUCCAAAUAAUAGAGUUUUCCCCGCUUAAUACCAAAACCAAUCGUCUGUCUUGUUUGGAUGUCCUUAAAAACACAAAAUUCAGGCCAAAAAAUGACAAUACAAGAUAAGACUGCAGUGAUUUGAGAAACUGACAAAAGAUUGUAAUUUAAGGAUGGAACAACUAAAAUAGAAUCCAAAUUCAAAGUAUCAGUAAGAGUUAAGGAUCCUUCCCCAAUGACUGGGGUUGUGUUACCAUUGGCUGUGGAAACAAAUUUUUGUGAGGAAGGUCUAACGGGUGAGACUUGUCUAGAAUCAAAAGUCAUAUGAUCUGUAGCACCAGAAUCAAUUAUCCAUGCAUUAUUAAUAACAGGUGUAGAAGUAUUUAAAAACUUACCACCAUAAUCUGUAGCGGCUAUCAAUGCAGAGGCUUUCUCAUCAACAUUAGCCUCUGUUUUUAUUUCGGCAAUAGCUGCAGUCGAGGUUUUCUUGGAAUUCUUCUUCUGUUGAUCACGAUUGUGAUCCCACCAGUCUGGAUAUCCCACAAUUUCAAAGCAACGACUCUUGGUAUGACCAGUCUUAUUGUAGUGAGUGCAUUUGAAGGUUGACUUAUCAAUAUUAUGGUCUGUCUUAGGAUGAUUGGUCUUGGAUUGGUCCUGCCAAUUUCGGGUUAAUUGUUGUCGGACUACCAUAGCUGAGGUGUCAGGGUUGUCAGAUUCUGCUUUCAUACUAGCAUGACGUAAUGCCUCUCGUUGAAUCAGUGCAUAGCAUUCUUCCAAAUAGGGAAGAGGAUCUUUGCGUAGAAUCUCUCCUCAAACUUGCUCAAAGUCACCACCCAAUCCAGCAAGAAAGAUGUGCACCCGUUGUCGUUCAAUGGAUUUCCGGUAUGCUGCAAUGUCUUCAGGGUCUUUCAUGACUACCUUCUCCCGAUGAUCCAAUUCGCAAAAAAGUUCAAUUAACUCUCCAUAAUAUUCAGAAAGAGACCUGCCGUUUUAUUUGGCAGUGAAGACUUUUUGAUUCAAAGUGAAAACUUGUAAUUCAUCACUUUCAUCAUAGAAGGCCUUUGAUAAUGCACUCAAAAUUUCUUGAGCGGUGGGUAAGCGUAAGUAAUGCUUCAUAAUUUCUGGACUCAUGGACAUUAACAACCAUCUCUUCACCUUUUGAUUCUCAGCAUACCAUUUUUCAUAUCCAUCUUCUGACUCUUUUGGUAGAUUUGUCUUACCUCGGAUGUAGGAAAGUUUUUCCCGUUCGGCAAUAUGCAUCUCCACGAGUUGUGACCAAACGUCAUAGUUUGAUUUAGUCAAAAUAAUUCCUGAAUUGAAAGUACCUUCAGAUUGAAAAACAAUAAUACUUUUUUCACUCAUUUUUUUUUUCUCUCGCAAAGAAGGGGCAAUUGUUGGCCUUACAACAAAAUAUCCAGGAUUUCAGGAACCUAGCUCUGAUACCAUGUUCAAAUUGAUGAAUGAUAGUUUUUCAUUCAUACUUUCUUUCGUUCAUGUACAGAGUAUAUAUAGAGGGUAAUCACCAUUCUAAGAAUGGGAAAGGAUGAUACAAGGAAAGAAUAAUAUAAGGAAAUAACAACUAAUAUCCUAAUAUCUCAACUUUCCUAAUAUCUCAAUAUUCCUAAUAUUUCAAUAUUCAUAAUAUCUUAACUUUCCUAAUAUCUAAACACUAAAUGAUAUAAGGAAAUAAUGAUAUAAGGAAAGCAUUCCUAAUAUCUCAACAUUGGAGUUACACCAUUGGUAUAACAUGCAACUCAAACUCAGAACUCCAAAACACUAGCUGGCAUUAUAUUCUGCUAAAAUAUUUUUUGAUGUUUAUCUUUCAUUUCAUUGUUGUUUUCUUCACCUCUCAAAUUUUCUUUUAUAAUAAAUGCAUGCCUCUUUGUACUUUUUUUUUUCUUGCAAAGAAGUGACUAUAAUCGAUGGUUCUUAGUAAUGUAUAUGGCAUCUAAUAAUAGCUUUAACAUAUUCCAAUUAUGUUUAACCUCACAUUUUGGUUUGAACUAGGAGGGAAUUCUAAGAGUAUUAAGGAGACUGUGGAAUCAAAAGAUGAAGAGAACAGGUCCAUCACGUUCAAGGUUUUGGAUGGGGAGCUGUUGAACGACUACAAGAGCUACAAGUUCACCACACAAGCGAUACCAAAGGGGGAGGGCUGCUUGGUGAAAUGGACCGCUGAAUAUGAGAAGGCAAGUGAGGAUGGAUCAGAUCCCCGUGGCUACCUGGAGCUUGCAGUUAAUAUCACCAAAGAUAUCGAAAGUCACCUUCUCAAUGCAUAACGCCAAGACCAUAUGUACCGUUUGCUAGUAUUUCUCUCUUAAAUAAAGUUUGGAACUUGGAUGUGCAUCUAUGUACUAUCUCGACCUUUUAAUAAACGCAAAUUCCAGCUGUACUGGAGUUGGUGACUAAUGCCGAGAAGACAAACUAGGUUCCCGAUCCUCAGUUAUUUAUGCAAUAAUAUUAAUUAGUGCAUGCGUGUGAUUAGUUGUAUGGUUCUGGGAGUUGCUUUGUGAUUGUUAAUCGGUGUCUUUUGUAGUGGGAUUAUUACAUGCAUGUAAUGUGAAGAACAUAUGAUCCAUGAGGAAAUAAAUUAAAUGAAAAUUACCCAGGCUCCAUCAUGAGGAGCCUUUGAGCAUGCCCACAAGCCUACGUUCCUGCAUUCAAGUCACAUAUGUGAAAAUUCCACUUUGCACAUAAUCUAAAUAAUUUAUCUAAAAAUCUAAGAAGUAAUCUCUCUCUCCAUCUAUGUCUCUCUCUCCCCAUCUAUAUGUACCUCAAAUGAAGAGGUAAGGUAAUGUAAAAUCCCCACCUCAAAUUUAGGGAUAUUUAUAUAAUUUGAAAAUUUUAAAAAGACCUACAUUAAUUUUGUAAAUAUUUAUGUAAUCAACUUUCUCAGAUUAAUUAAAUAAAAAAUUGACCAAGAUGAUUAAAAAUGCAAAUUUGAUGAGGACAUGAAGUAAAAAGUGGUAGGGUUUAAGGACAAUGGCUUCUACUGAAUUUUGGUGAGGUGGUGAUACAAUGAGGAAAAUAGAUUAAUAAAGUUUAUCCAUGGAAAUAGAAAAUAGAAAACAAAAAAUAUAAAAUAAUAAUAAUAUUCAUGUUAAUCAUUUAAUAAAUAUAAUAAAUGCAAUUAUAUAUGCUAAGUGAAAAUAACAAUAUUAUUAUUAUUAUUAUUAAUGCUUAUGAUAGGUGAGAAUUAAGUCUUUUAGAAAUUUGAGUAAUUUUUUCAAGGUAAAGCUUAUAGUUCAUUAAGUCAUUUUAUAAUUCCUUAUAUAUUUUUUUAUUGAUUUUUAAAGUAUCAAAAUGUGUAAAUUCUUUAAAGUGGAUCAAAUAGUUUUUUUUUUUUUUGAAAUAUUUUGUGAUUUGUUUGGUUGUUAUGAAAGUGAAUUUUAUUACUUAAUUUAUUAUAAUGAUUUUAAAACUCUAGUUAUUAGUGGUUUUAGUCAACAAGGAUAAGUUAUUAACCUUCUUUACCUUUGGUCAGUGAAGGGAUGUAGUAUAACACUAGCCAAUAAAUGUGUCAUUGGUCUUGUAUACUAUUGAUUAGAAAUUGUUAUGUCCACCAAUGAGAGUAUUAAAGUGAGGUGAGCCACCUAAUGUAAGUCCCAAUAUUUGGGCACAACGUUAUUAUUAAUUAAUAAACAAAAAUAAAUAGUUUAUUUAUAAAAAUUUUUUUCUAAAUAUAAAUUGAGUAUGCAAAUUGUAUUUUUUAAUUCUAUCUUUAAAUUUAAAGUGUUUAAUCUUUUGAAGAAAGUGAAUUUAAUUUUUUGAAGAAAGUGAAUUUAAUUUUUGAAUUAAAUAAAUUAACCUGAUAAUUGAUUUUUAUAAAAAUUUGAUAUCUCUUAGAAUUUAAUUCUCUACAAUAUAUACCUGAUUUUUUUCAUUGAACUAUUUUUUCUUAUUGAACCAUUGAAGUCACCCUUCUUUAUUAUUCCCCUUUUCAUAUACAAAUGGUAUAAGUGAGAAGGGAUUACGGGAGGAGAAAUGUUUCUAUUAUAAACAACUUUGGAAUUGAAUUAUGUUGGAUUGUGAAACGUGAAUCGGUUUAAUUUAUUGUAUUUUGCAAGGAAUGCUAGAGGUCGAGUGUCUAAUUGAGCUUGCGGGGAUCAAGAGUCUUGAUCGGUUCGUUGGGACUUGGGAUUGAGUUGUCCAAUCAGCUCAUGGGGUUAAAGGAAUAUCCUUCGAUUUUUUUUAAUACGAUGAAUAACGAGUUUGUCCUAAUUGUAUAUUUAAUCUUAUUAUAAUUUAAAGUUUCUUUUUAGAGAGUGUGUGACUGCAAUCGAAAGGAUAAUGAGUGUUUAGUACUCGUCUUAUUUUUUUCUGAACCAAAUUAAAAAUCUAUUGUUUUUCUUUAUUUUCUAAUCGUGUGUGCAUGAUUUGAUCAACAAAUUAUUUAUAGGAUUGUUUACUUAAAUUUGAUUGUAAUUUAUUUAAGUUUUUAGGAGAAUCAUUAAAUUUAUUAUUACAAUAUUUUAUUAGUUUUGAAUUUGUUAUUUAAAGUGAUUCAUUUACUUGGUUCAAAGGUUUGACAUAUAAAGUCACCGUGGUUCCCUUGGUGUCGCGGGUGAUUUUGUAAGUGCCUUCGGACUACAGAAUAUUAAUUAACCUACCAAUCUUCAAUGUAAUCUAAGAUGCAGAAAGAUCUUGUGGGUUAAGGUCAAGUGGGCGCUUCAAUAUUUAUCAUGUCUUCAAAAAAAACUUCAGGGCCCCAGUCCAGAUUCUCAGAUAUGGAUUCUAACAGUUGCUACCAAUCACGGGGGUGAAAACAAAUCAGUGUCGCAGAAAUCGCUAUCAAUGUGGUACUGGAAAAAAAAGAAGAGAUUCCUCCACUUGUUCUUGAAAUUUAUCUGAACGCAUGCAAUAAAUCAAUGCUCCAUAAUCUCCUGCACAUGCAAAUUAAAAUCAAAAUCAGGCCAUUGGCCUCUCACAUUACCAUUCUUGGCCGUUUUCUGGUGUGCAUAUAAAGAGUAAUAACCACACCAUCCAUCUUUUACUCUGGUUGUCACACUCCCACCACUCUCCCACCACUUCUUCCCUAAUCUCCUAACAUCAAAUACAAAAAUGCCACAUCCUUAUUAUUGAAAAUUAAAUUCCCAUACAUAUAAAUCUUAUGCCAGAUUUUUUGUUGAUUGGAUGAUAUUCGGCCAUAUAAAAUUCAGUAUCAAUCACAAACAUUCGUUAUCCAAUCUUGAUACCGAAGAGGAUAGAGUAUCAAUCCAUCUAUGGGCCCGGUGCACCAGGCCUUCCGCCUAUAAAAGUUUUCUAGGGUGGUGAACUAUAUUCUUCAAACACAGCCUUGGCUAGUUACUAUCUGGUUUCCAAAGAAAGAAGAAAUGGCUCAGAUAGAUAAGAUGGAAACCCAUGUAGAGAAAAAGUCCCCUGCCAAUGAGUUCUACGAGGUCUUCAGCAGCAAAGCUCAUCUCAUUCCCAAGGCCUGCCCUGACAAAAUCAAGAGCAUCGAAGUGGUUGAAGGUGAUUGGAAGAGUGUGGGCUCUGUCAAGCUCUGGACUUACUGUAUCGGUAAGGCAACGCUAACCAUUAUUCCCAUGCCACCCUCAAUCAAACAAAAUAAUACACUCAGCACAUGGACCUUCUUGUUUUUAAUUAUUAUUGCUGUGGAAGAUAAUAAUAACAAAACAAAGGGAAUGACCCCUUCUGAUACGGGUGCCUCCUCAUAUUAGUUUUUUGAAGUUCUCCAUGCAAACUAAAGUAGAAAUCAAUCUUUAGGCACAUCCCUUAUCUGAGCUUCACAUGACCUUAGUUUCAUUUUAAAUUAACCUGCAGGAGGAAAUACUUCGUCUAGCAAGGAGAGGGUGGAAAAGAAAGACGAUAAGAACAAGUCCAUCACUUUCAAGGCUCUGGAUGGAGAGGUCAUGAAGGAUUUCAAGAGCGUCAUCUCCAUCCUUGAAGUGAGUGCAAAGGAUGACGGCAGCCUGGUGAAAUGGACUUUGGAAUAUGAGAAGUCAAAUGAGAAACUCCUACCUCCAGAUGCUUACCUCAGCCUUGUAAUUAGUAUGAGUAAAGAAAUCGACGCUUACCUUCUCAAGGCAUAAGCCGCAUAACAAGCCCUAUAUCCUUGACUUGAUAUGAAAGCAUCCUAGCCUGGGUCCUCCUGGGAAUAACGGAGUUGCUAUGCGUACCUCCAUAUUAUAUUAUCGACACCUACUGGCUACUGCUGUACUCCAUGUAACUUCUUGCUGUACUUAAUUAUAUGAGCUUCCUGAAUUAAUGUUGGAAUGAUAAAUCAAGCUUUAUGGUAGAAUCAAAUGAUUGCUCUAUCAUGGAAUAAAUUUCGCAAUAAAAAUAAAUAUUAGAGGAGAGUUAUGAAACGAAGCUUUUUUUUCUGCAUCAAAUUAACUUUUCAUACACUGUUUUUAAAACAAAUCAACAUACAAUGAUCUUAUGUUGUACCUUUUCCGUUGCAGAUUGCUUUUAAAAAUGUUCUCCCCACAGGCACUUCUAUGGUAUCUUUUCAAAAUUGCUAUUAUAUAUGUUUAAUUAACCAUUCAUUUUGGUCUAAAGCUAGGACGAACUUCUAAGACUGCCACGGAGACUCUGGAAAUCAACAGAUGAAGAAAAAAAUAAAAUAUAUCCAUGACUUCCAAGGUUUUGGAAGCAGAGGUCAUGAAUCAUUUCAAGAAGAUUCAAGUCAUCCAUGCAAGUAACAGCAAAGGAUAAGCGCAGCUAGGUGAAAUGGAGACUGGAUAUUGAGGGUCACUAUCUCAGAUUCUCAAGGCAUAGCAUUAAAAACAUAUCCUUUAAUUGGUAGUAUAAUCUCAAACUUGUAUGUAAAGACCAGACCGUGGAAGUGCAUAUAUGCAUUUUAUUCUUCAAUAAGCGCAGGCUUAGGGGGUAGUUCAAUAACCUCUGGGCUUAGUCAAUCCCGAGAAGAUAUUAAUAAAUUUCCCUGGAUUAUUCCUCUCAUGAAUAUCAGUGCCUGUAAUUUGGUUGUGUGCUAACGGGAGUUGCCUCUUGCGAUCGGUUGGGUUCUUUAAUAAACGCAUUAUUAGGUAUGAAUGAUCAGGAAAUUGAUAAGUAAAAAACAAUUUAAUUAUUUCACUUAAGUCAUAAACCAUUAUGAGGAGCCUUGGAAUAUAUGCAUGAGUCUAGAUUCUCGCAGCCACUAAUCACGUAGUCAAAAUUGGCCAGUCGCAAACAUUCCAAUCAUUCUUUAUGAUAAGAAAGAAGAGUUCACUCUUCUUUUUCUCGAGUUUUUUAUUUGGAGAGAGCAAUUUAUCAGCCUCACAUUUUGAGACCUUUCUUGGCACAUCACUUUCAGAAUCUGAUUUCCUAGCUCCACUAUAGAAGUAAAGCCAGUUGGGUAUCACAUUCUUGUUUUAUGUCUCCUUGAGUGGGUCGGGUGUAUAUAAAAAUUUGCCAGUUGAAGAUUUUCUUUGUUAUGCUAGUCUUUCUUUUUCUAACCUCCUGAUAUCAAAUGGGAAAAUGCCAUAUCGUUACUGGACAAUUGACCCAUAAUGGAGAGACUUUUGUUGGUUGGACUUGGGCUUUUAUAUAACUCAGCAACUAUCAUAAUUAUAGGAGAAAUUUGAAGUAACCAUAUUGAUUUGGGUCUACCAAGAAGCAAGGUGAAUCGUAACAUAUCAUGCAUAUAACUUGAUUCAAUUAUUUUAUAUUCUACUUGUUUCUUAUGUAUUUUUACUUUUAUCAAAUAGUUUAGAUAUCAUUACCAAAUAUUCUCCUGACAUUUUCCUAUUAUUUCUGUAAGAUGCUAUAAUCUACACCCAAAGUAGUGGACCACUUACACUUUAUUAUGUACUAACCACGAUCAUAACUUACAUUCUCCACCUUGGCCUCUCUCUUAUCCCAAAAAGUAAAGACUCAGGGUUCGUAUCCCUUCCCUUCUGUCUAUAUAGGUCUAAGAGUAGUCAAGUGUUUCCUUCAAUAGCCUUCAUAUUCUUGGCAGUAACUAGGUACUUGGUUUUCAAACACAACAAAAAUAAUGGCUCAAAUUGCCAAGAUGGAGGUCCAAGCAGAGAUCAAGUCCCCUGCCAGUAAGUUCCACGAGGUCUGUAGCCGUAAAGUUUAUCUCGUACCCAAGGCUUGCCCUGAAAAAAUUAAGAGCAUUGAAGUAGUUGAAGGUGACUGGAAGACUGUGGGCUCUGUCCAGCUUUGGACUUAUUUCAUCGGUAAGGCAAAAUCCAUCAUUCCACGCCUCCCCCAACAAACACAAGGACACAGAGCUCAAUUGUACUUCUAUUAUUAUUACUAUUAUUAGGAAAUAAUGAUAAUCUAAUGGUAAUGUGACUCUACUCAUGCCGAUAUAAACCCCGUAAUCUUGAUCUCAAAUUGCUAUCAAACAAAAGAAUAUCAAAUAAAGGUAAAGUGUGUCCCCUAUAUUUAUACGUAGAUAGAUGAGUUCUAAGCUUAGCACCAUGUUUUCCAUUUGAAAAACAGGAGGAAAUACCGAAGAGGCUAAGUUGGUGGUUGAAAGGGUAGACGAGGAAAACAAAACGGUCACUAUGAACGUUGUGGAAGGAGAUAUCGUGAAGUAUUUCAAGAUCUUCAAGUGCACUAUUCAAGUAACCGUAAAGGAUAAGGGCAGCUUGGUGACAUGGAGUGUGGAAUAUGAGAAGCUAAAUGAGAGUGGCCCCGCUCCAGAUGCUUACCUCAACUUUGCAAUGGGUAUCGUUGAGAACGUGGAUGCUUACCUUCUCAAGGCAUGACAACAAAGGCGUAUUCAUGAGUCAUGACAUGGUAUGAAGCACUGGUACAACAAAAACUUGGGAAUAAUGUACCACACGCCAUGUCCUCAACUUCUACUGGUCAUCGCUAUAAUAUUAAAAGUAACUUCUUAUUCUACUUAUAUACCUUCCAAGUACUUUGUGUCUUGAAUGUUAUUAUCUAAAAAUAAAAAUAGAAAAUCUCGAAGAAGAGCAUUGUCCUUCGACACUUUUCUUUCUUUCUUUCUUUCUUCACUGCUGAGAAUCUCAACGUACGACUACCAUUUGCAUUAUGGACCCAUGACUGCCAUCCUUUGACCACAUUUGUUGCCCUCCCACCAAACUCCUACGCGUCAAAAUUUCUAUUGUUGCUUGAACAAUAUUUUCAUUUGAAAAACAAGGAAACGAUUUAAAAAUUCUUAUCUCAUGUCUAGUUACCCCGGUCGACCAUAUAAAGUACCACUUGAUCACUCUAGUCUCCUUUGCUAGCCCAUGGGCAAUGCAAUACCCAGCAGGUCCCAGUAACCAACUCUAUGUUCCUCCGAAAAUGAAACAAAUCAGGUCGUUUCAGGGAUGCAUUUGAUCUCACCCUUUUGUUUUGUGUCCGUUAUUUUUUAUUUUAAUAUCACAUGUUUAUAUUUUAAUCUCAUUCUUUACACCUGGAUUUGCUGAUAAAGGCAACUUUCUUUUUGAGCUUUGAUCGAGAUUUUUAUGAAAUUCCUGUGAUAUUACCGUCCUGCUCCUGCUUAAGAAUGUAACUUUGAUUUUGCUUUUAGUGAAGUCUUUAGGUGUUGUUUAUUCCCCAAAAUCUUUUGAUGUUUCUGAAAUUGCUUCAGUGGACUUUGAGAGGUUGCAGGUACCUCUUUUCUCCUGAAAUAGAAUUUGUUUCAGUGGAGCAAGACAACAGGAUGAGCAAAAAAUAGAACCAAUUUUAUUGAUAUAUAUCAGGUUUUUGAGACGUUGAAGAACAUUUCUAACAACUUUUUUUGAUGGGUGACCAAGCCUAUUAUGCCACAAUGCAUAUACAGAACAAGAAGAAAAAGAAGCAGGUGUUGGAACUACAGAAGAAUUGUAUACUAAGGGUUGUGUUGACAUACUGACAUAUGACUUAUGAGGAGUUGAGGGAGAGAAGCUGCCACUGAUUAUUAAUGAGAUCAAUUUGAGACUGAUAAAAAACAUAAAGACCAUCUUUAGGCCUACCCCUCCAGUAGCACUGUUUUGAAGUGAAAUUCAAAGAAGACAUUCUUUUGGGCAAAUUUUGACACACUGAGAAGGUUCUAAUUAGCAAUUUCAGGGACAUGAAGUGUUUUAAAGAGUAAUUUCAGCAAACAUAACUUCAACUUUACAUCCACCUGACCUCAUUAUUUCAGUUUGACAAGAGGGCUUAAUUAUAUCAGUAUGACUGCUAAGAAGACUUUGGAAUAUUAUAAAACGAGUCCAUCAAGUUCAAGGUUUGGAAUGGAAAGAUCAUGAGUAAUUUCACUACUUUUAAGCUGAAUAUGAGAAGGUAAAUGAGGAUGUCCCAGACCCAAUGCUUACUAAAUCAUUGAAGGUCACCUUCUUGAGGCAUAAUUCCAAUUCUUUUCAUCGAUGCUUCUUAGAUGUUAUAAAACAAUACUAUGAAAAUGAAAACGUAAUGUAAUUUUGUCAAAGCCUUUUCCUUAUUGAAGACUCUGGACUGAUUGCGUGGGUGCGCAACACCCACCAUAAUUCCCACACCAACGCCCAACUAACCAAAUCACGUAAGGCCUCACAUGGCCUCAUUAUUAUUUCUGUUGAAAGAUAAUACUAUAUUACAUACGAGAUGGCCAUUCUACCAGCCACCUGUAAAGUUGGUGAUAAAUUGAUACUAAAAAUAGAAGGAAAAUUAAGUUGAAAUUAAGGGUGUCUAUUUAAAUUUAAUUAUUCCCUAGAUAUGAUCUUUUGAUAUGAUUUGAACCCGUUAAUCAUUUAUUUUUAUAUAAAGAGACAAAAAUUCAAUUGUAUAAUCCAGGAUGAGUCACUUGGCCGGGUUUUCGACGACAGCUAAAUCAACCUUCAUUUAGUAAUGAUUGCCCAUGAAAUAAAUUAUCAUGUCUCCUCACAAUAUAAUAAACUAAUAAAAAAUAAAAGAAGAUCACAAAGAAAAGCAUCUUAGUGGAAGUUUUUUUUUUUUUUUUUUUCUUUCAUUUGUUGGUGGUGACACUCCGUGAAAUGUGAUCAACUAGCAUUUGAAUUACACAACCUAAUGCAAAUGAUAAAAAGCAUAAAUUACUUUAGAGUGUUUAGAAUUUGGAAGACUCUAGCUAGGAUGAUAUGGCAUGGGUCUGUGGCCGACAACCACCAAACCCAACGCUAAAUAAUUAUUAUUGAACCAUCAUCAUCAGUAUAAGCAACAUCAAACCUCUCCAUGUUAAACUGUACAUUUUAUUUCAUCCGGAUCUAAUAUCUAAUUAUAAAUGAUUAUGUAUGAGAUUGCAAUCCUUUGCUUAACUCUUUGAAAAUCUAAUUAUAAAUAUUUGGAAUAUCGAUUUCAUCUCUACCAUUAAAAGCAUAUGAAAAAAAUAUCUUGGUCUUUGAAUAAAAGUAAGUAUAAAUAAUUAGACUAGGGUACCAAAUGAUGAAAUCAAAUAUAAAUGAAUUAUAACCAUCAAAUUUCUAUUUUUCAUUAUUAAAUCAUUGGGCGCUCCAAUUUUUACAUGAUGUAUAACUAUUGACGGAAAUGUUAAUUAGGGAUGGCAACGGGGCUGGUUUUUUCGGGUACCCGCCCCCCCCUCCCCCCCCCCCGCCCCUAAUGGGACGGGGUUGAAAUUUAAUAAACGGGUUUUUAACGGGUAUGAGAUUUUUUUUUAAAACCAGGGGCGGGUUCGGGACGGGUUCGGGACGAGUUCGGGUAUUGCCCCAUUCCGCCCCGCCCCGCCCUGUUUACAUAUAAAAUCAAUUUUAAAAUUAAUUUUAUUUUACUAUUUUUAAUAUAUAGAUAAUAAUAAAAAAAUUAAUAAAAUAAGUUAUAAAAAAUAUAAUAAUUUUAUUAUUUAUAAAUAUAUUUAUUUUAAUGUAAUUAAAAAUUUUAAAAGUAAAUUUUUUUUUUUAUAAAAAAAAGGAGGCUAAACGGGGCGGGACGGGGAUGAGAAUUAUUUUUAAUAAACGGGGCGGGGUUGGGAUGGGGGCAACCCGUCCCGAACCCGCCCUGUUGUCAUUCCUAAUGUUAAUAUAAGGAUAUAAUAAUGGGUAAAAUUAGUUGAAAGUGUUUUUUUUAUGACAUAAAAUAAUUUUUCAAAUUUUAAUUUCUAUUUACUUUGUCUUCCCUUGUCAUGUAUCUUUGUAAUUUUCCGAUUUGUUUAUCAAAACAAUAAAUGAUGUCAUGUUAUGAUUUCUCUUUUUGUCUUCCUUUUUAAUUGACGUGUUUAUUGGAAUAAUAUAUUAUGUUAGACAAAAUAACACAUACCUCCACUGCCCAAAUCCCCUCCGUGACAAUGAACCCCAUCUUUAAGCAUUAUUAUAAAAUUAAGCAUAAAGUUAUUACAAGUUUCUUCCAUUUCACAUGCCUUUCCCAUAGAUUGAGUGGUGGAGAUGAUCAUUCUUGAACGAUUUAUAAUUUUAAUGAAUUCUGUCUAUUCUCAUAUCUUUUAAGAGGGAAUUCAAAUCAACUUAUCUUAUUUUCUCAACGCUACUUAACUUCCACGGCUUCAAAUUUACAUGAUCAUAUCAUUAUCAAUAACUUCGGCAUAACUAUUCAAAUUUUAAUAAGAACUUCAAAUCAUUGUUACCUUUAUUGCCUUAAAAAUCUUUUUCUUUGUCAAUGAUCCCUGCACGAUUAUUAAAUAAUAGGAUUGUUAUUGUCAUAUUAACUAAUUUUGAUAAUAUAGUCAUCGUCACGGCUGAGUGCCGUUUUCUUGGGAGAUUUUUCAUAAAUUUAAAUCAAUACCAGUUAUAGGAAAUGCGUCACAAAUUAGGAAGAUAUCGAGCUGGAAGCAGAUGAUAUAUAAUUCAUUAUUUUCUUCCUUAUUGAAGCUUGACAAACCAAUCCAAAUGCAUUAACGUGAGAAGCAAGGUUUUAUGCUCAUUUUCAAUGAACCUUGUCAACAUGCACGUCAAAAACAAUGAUUUAUUAACUACGUACAUGUAGAACUGCAUGGGAAAAAAAAAAUACAAUUAAGGCAUUGGGAUAUGAAUAAAACGCUUAACUUAAAAUUCAAAAUUCUCAAAACUACGUUUUUCACACCAAAAUGUUUCAUCCAGCCAACCUAAGACCGAGUGAAUCCUCCCUCUAAAGCACAUUGCCCAAGACUACAGGCAACGUAGUAAUUACCUAAGCAAAUACGUCAGAAUCAUACCAAUUUUUACCAAAGUGGGUAUCGGGAAGGAGCUUUGCCUAAUUCAUCCUUCUAUAUAUAAGGACAAGGUUAUCUACUUCUUCUCAUCACUGCCUUCUGUUUGAAUAUUUUGUAGUUAGUUUUAUCAAUCCAGCUAGUGUUAUUAUCAGAAAAACAUGGCUCUAACUGGUAAGUUGGAGACUGAAACAGAGAUCAAAGCACCUGCUGAUAAGUUCUUUAAAAUCUUCAGGAGCCAAGCACACCACCUUCCUAAUAUCUGCUCCGAUAAAAUACACAAAAUCGAGGUACAUGAAGGUGACUGGGAGACUCAGGGCUCCGUCAAGCAUUGGAGUUUGACCGUUGGUAAGGCAUCUCAAACUAAGAACCACAAAACACUAGCGUUAUAUUCUGUUAAUUAAAAUAAGUUAUUAUGUUUUUGUUUCAUUUCAUUGUUGUUUUCUUCACCUUUCAAUUAUUCUAUUAGAAUAAAAGCAUGCCUCUUUGUACAAUUUUUUUCUUGCAAAGAAGUGAUCGAGUCUGGGCCGCUAGUGACUAUGAUGGUUCUUAGGAAUGUACAUGACAUCUAAUAAUAGCUUCAACAUAUUCCAAUUAUGUUUAACCUCACAUUUUGGUUUCAACUAGGAGAGAAUUCUGAGAGUAUUAAAGAGACUGUGGAUCAAAUAGAUGAAGAAAACAGGUCCAUCACAUUCAAGGUUUUGGAUGGGGAGGUGCUGAAAGACUACAAGAGCUACAAGUUCACCACACAAGCGAUACCAAAGGGGGAGGGCUGCUUGGUGAUAUGGACCAUCGAAUAUGAGAAGGCAAGUGAGGGUGGCCCAGAUCCCCAUAACUGCCUAGAGUUUUCAGUUAAUAUCACCAAAGAUAUCGAAAGUCACCUUCUCAAUGCGUAACACCAAGGCCAUAUCCACCCUUUGCUAGUAUCUUGCUCGUAAAUAAAGUUUGGAACUUGGAAGUCCAUCUAUCUCUAUCUUUCAAUAAACGCAAAUUCCAGGUGUGGACUUGGUGAUUAGUGCCGAGAAGAUAAACUAGGUUUGCCUUGGUUAUUUGUGCAAUAAUAUUAGUGCAUGAGUGGGAUUGAUUGUAUGCUAUCUUGUCCGGGAGUUGCUUUGUGUCUUUUGUAAUGGGAUUACUACAUGUAAUGUGAAGACUAUAUGAUGCAUGGGGAAAUAAAUUAAGCGAAAACUUCCAUGGGCUCCAUCAUGAGGAGCCUUUGAGUAAGUCCACAAGCCUACAUUCUUGCAUUCUAGUCACAUGUGUCAAAAUAAGUCUCUACAAAUUAAAGUCUUAUUGUCAAAAUCCCACUUUACACAUAAUCUAAAUAAUUUAGCUAAAAUCUAAUAAGUAUGUCUCUCUUUAUAUGUACUUACCAUCCCAACUUUUAAAUUUAGGGAUAUCUAUGUAAUUUAGAUUUUAAAAAGAAAAUUUUAGGGAUAUUUACAAAGAUAAAUGAAAUAUUUUUGGUUCCGAUAACCAUUAUUUUUAUCUCAUUUUGGUUUCUUUGCGUUAUAAAAAAAAUGGUUUGUAGAGAUAAACUAGAGAAAAAAAAAAAUUAUACAAUGGUUUGUAGAGAAAUUUGAUUCGAAAAGUUAGAAAAGAUGAUUUGUUUUUUGCAUUUGCUUCAUUCUAAAAUUCAAUCACUAUCUUUUAUCUCAUUUUGGUUUCCCCACAUUAUCAAAAAAUGAAGGAUAAAAAUAAACUGGGGAAAAAAUUAUACAAAGGUCUCCGAGAACUUUGAUUUGAAGAGUUAGAAAAGAAGAAUUUUUUUGCAUUUGUUUCAUUUUAAAAUUCAAGGUUUUUGGAUUUCUAUUAUAUAUUAAUUAUGAGGAUAGUAGAAUAAUAAUAAUAAUAAACAAAAACUAGUUAUUAGUGACCUUGAUCAAUAGAGUAUAAGUUGUUGACCUUUAUUAUCUUUGUUAGAAGUAGUUAACGAUGCAAUGUAACCUUAGCCAAUAAAGAUGUUUUGAUAUACAUUGAUUGAAAAAUGUCCUUUUAAAACUAGUUAUUAUUGACCUUGGUCAACACAGAGGAUAAGUUGUUGACCUUUAUUACCCUUGUUAGGAGUAGUGAACGGUGUAGUAUAACCUUAGUCAUUAAGGAUGUUAUUAGCCUUUUGCUAUAUCAUUGAUUGAAAGUUGUCCUAUCCACCAAUAAGGAGAAUGAAGGCUAGCCACCAAGUACUAGUUUUAGUAUUUUGGCACAAUAUUAUUACUAGUGAGUCAAAGUGAAAUAUUUGUUGAUAAAACUUUUUUAAUAUGAAUUGAGUAAGCAAAAUAUAUUAUUUAAUUCUAUCAUUAAAUUGGAAGUGUUUAAAUUUUCAAAAACAAUUAUUUUAAUUAUUGAAUCAAAUGAGCUUACAUGUUAAUAGACUUUUAUAAAGAUGUGGUAUCUUCCGAAAUUUUAUUAUAUAUAAUAAUUGAUCUUCCUUAUACUAACUUUUAUCAUUGAGCCAUCGAGUUCACUUUUCUCUGUUAUUCUCCAUUUCAAUUAUAAAUGAUAUAAAGAGGGAUGAGGUAAGAAAAAUAUUUCUAUUAGAGACAGCUUUGGAAUUGAUUUAUUUUAGGAUUAUUUACUAGACUGAAUUCAUUUAUAAUUUCUAAAUUUCUUUUUGAAGAAUUUGAGAAAAUUAAAUUAAUUAUUGAGAGAUUUUAAUUAGUUUUAAAUUUGUUACUUAAAGUCGUUCACAUGUUGGAUUCUAAUAUUUGAUACGUGAAACUAGCAUGAAGGGCUUGACCUCCGGGUUUGGGGCGUCGCAGCUGACUUUAGAUUACAGAAUUAUUAAUCAACCUACCAAUCUUCAAAGCAAUCUAGGAUGCAAUAUGGUUUUGUGAUUUAAGAUCAAGUGGACGCUUCAUUUAUUAUGUCUUCAAAAAAACAUUUUGGGCCUCAAUUCGAGAUUAUCAGAUAUGGAUUCUAACAGUUGCUUCCAAUCAAAUCAGUGUCACAGAAAUCGCUACCAUUGUGGUACCUGAAAAAAAAAAAAAGAGACUCCUUCCCUUAAUAUUGAAAUUUAUCUGAAGCUAUGCAGUAAAUAAAUGCCCCAUUUUGUGCGUCAUAAUGGGGGAUCACAUUCAGAAUCUUCUGCACAUGCAAAUUAAAAUCAAAAUCAAGCCAUUGGCCUAUCACAUUACCAUUUUUGGCCCUUUUGUUUUGUUGUUUUUUUCUUUUUUUGGCGUGUAUAUAAAAAGCAACCACAUUAUCCAACUUUUAUUGAAAACACCAUAUUAUCAGAUACAAAAACGCCACAUCAUUAUUAUUGAAAAUUAAAUUCCCAUAUAUAGAAAGCCACAUAAAAUUCAGUGCCAAUCACAAACAUUCGUUGAUAUUCACUAGGAUAGAGAUAGAGUGCCCAUAUAUGGACAGUGCACCAUACCCGCCGUGAAGUGAUUGGAAGAGUGUGGACUAUGUCAAGCUCCGGACUUAUUUGUAUAGGUAAGGCAACGCUAACCAUUAUUAUUCCCAUGCCACCCUCAAUCAAGCACAGUCAUACACUCGGCACAUGGCACUUCUUGUUUUUAAUUAUUAUCAUAGUGAACAAUGUUUUCAUAAUCGGAUCGAUCAUCGAACCGAAAAAGUUAUCGAUUUACAGUCCAUUAGUCGAACCGACGGUCGAACCAAUAACAUCAUAAAUAUGUAAUUUAUAUAUUAUUAAAAUUAAAAAUAAUUAUACAAAUUUUAAAAUAUAUAUGAAUAAAUUAAAAAUCAAUAAUAUUAUUUUGUAUCUUUAAUAUUAUCAAAUUAAAUCAUAUUAAUAUUUUAAAUUUUAUUGAAUGAAAUAUAUAUAAUAUUUAAAUAUGAAUAUAUUAAAAAUGAAAAUUUAAUUAAACUAAUUUUAUAAUUUUUAAAAAUAUUAUAUUAUUUUUAUUUAAUAUUAUAAAAAAAUUUAAAAUCCAAUAUAUAUUAUUUUGUUUGGCAUAUUAAAUAAUAAAAGAUGUAUAGCCGAGUGGUCCUAGGUUGGUUAUAGACCUUGAGGUCCAAGUUCAAAUCCUUUGGUGGAUUUGUUAAUUUUUUUUUUCAUUGAUUAGGUUAGUUAGCAAUCCCACACUAAGAGGAAUAAGGAUGCUUAUAAAAGCUAGCCUCAUUAUGGGCAAAGGCAUCACCUCAUCUGGUGGGCUUAAGACUCAGCCCAUAAAAUGGUUGGGUGCGGUGUGGGCUUUGUCACAUUAAGACAGGGCCCAUCAUGGGCUUUUGCUAAAUUUUUUUAUACAAGGGAGCCUUCCAUGCUUGCAAAAUGGUGGGAUAACUUGAACCGAUCGAUUCGCUCAAAACCGUCUGAUUUCGUUGGGUUAUCGAUUCAAUCAUCGAUUUAGGUGAUUUGUGACCGGUCCAAUGCUUAGACGGUUUAAUAAAGUAAAUCUAAUAAAAAAUGUGAUGGAUCGACGAUUGAACCAGUUGGAUCAGUCGGUCCCACCCGAUUUUUAAAACAUUAGAUAAUAACAAAUUAAAAGAAGGGUGUCUCCUCAUAUGAGUUUUUUUGAAGUUCUCUACUCUUGGAGUGACUGAAAGGAUAACUGCAGCCUGGUGAGAUGGACUUUGGAAUAUGAGAAGUCAAAUCAGAGGCUCCUUCCUCCAGAUGCUUACCUCAGCCUUGUAAGCAUGAGUAAAGAUAUGGAUGGUUUACCUUCUCAAGGCAUAAACCGCAUAACAGCAAGGCCUAUAUCCUUGACUUGGUCUGAAAGCAUCCUAGCUUGGGUCCUUCUGGGAAUGGGAUUGCCACACGUAUGACCUCUGUAUCAUCAGUUUUGGGGCAAAAUAGCCAUUUUAUGUAUAAAAAAAAAUAAGCUUUAGCCCUUUACAAAACUUAUGUUUAAACUAGCUCACAUAGAGUCAUGUCAUCAUUUUUCUUUUAAACUCAAUUAGACUUUAUUUUUUAACUGAAACUUCAAUUACCAAUUGAGAAUUCAUUUUUUAACUAAAACUUCAAUUUACAAUUGAGGUUUUAGUUAACUUUGUUUUAAAUUUAAAUAAAAAAUUAAAUUAUAAAUUAUUAUUGAAAUUUAAAAAAUAUAUUUUAAUAAUAAUAAUUUAUAUAUUUAAACUUAAAUAUCUAAUAUUACUUCAAUAAAGAUAAAUUGACAAAUAUAAUAAUAAAUAAAUAUUUUAUUUAUCAAUAAAUUAAUAAUUUUAAAAUAAUAAAGUUAUAUGAAAUCUAAAUAAGAUAUAAAAUUAUAUAAUUUGUUAAUUUAAGAUAUUUAAUUUUUUGUAUUUUUAAGAUAUUAAUUUAUUUGUAUUUUGACAAAUUUAUCUUUAUUAAAAUAAUAAUAUAUUCUUAAGUUUCAUAUAUAGAUUUUUUUAUUAUUUUAAAGCAUAUAUUUAUAGUUUACGUAAAAAAAUACUAUUAUUUGUACAUACAAUAUAUAUGCCUUGAAGAUACAUUUUGAAAUUAGUUAAUAAAAUUAAUUAGAAAAAAGUCUACUAUAAAAUUUAAUUUUUAAUAGUUUCAUCAAAGUCACAAAAAAUACUCAUUAAAUAUUUAUAUUAUGGAAAAAAAAUGCCCCUCCCUAAUAUUACAUGUGAUAUAACUUAAAUUAAUAAAUUGUAUAAUUUUAUAUUUUAUUUAUAUGUCAUAUAAUUUUAUUAUUUUAAGAUUAUUAAUUAAUUGAUAAAUAAAAUAUUUAUUUAUUAUAUUUAUCAAAUUAUCUUUAUUGAAGCAAUAUUAGAUCUUUAAGUUUAAAUAUAAAAUUUUUUAUUAUUAAAGUAUAAUUUUUUAAUUUCAAUAAUAAUUUAAAAUUUAAUAUUUUUAAUUAAAUUUUAAAGUAAAAAAAUAAAAUAACUGAAGUUUCAAUUGACAUAUCUUAUUUAGAUUUCAUAUAAUAUUAUUAUUUUAAGAUUAUUAAUUUAUUUAUAAAUAAAAUAUUUGUUUGUUAUUAUAUUUAUUAAUUUAUUUUUAUUGAAGUAAUAUUAGAUCUUUAAGUUUAAAUAUAUAAAUUAUUAUUAUUAAAAUAUAUAUUUUUUAUUUCAAUAAUAAUUUAUAAUUUAUUUUUUAAUUAAAUUUUAAAAUAAAAUAAAAAUUUUAACUAAAACCUCAAUUGUCAAUUGAGGCUUUAGUUAAAAAAUAAGUUUCGAUUGACAAAUGAUACUUCAAUUAAAAAAUGAAGUCUUAGUUGGUAAUUGAGACUUCAACUUAAAUUUUAAAAAAAAAAAAUUAUGACAUAACUCCUAUAUGUGAUAAUAAAGGAACUAGUUUAAACAUAAGUUUUAUAAAAGGGUUAAAACUUAUAUUUUUUUCUACAUAAAAAACUAUUUUGCCCUAAAACUCCCGUAUCGUCGACUAGCUACUGCUUUACUCCAUGUAACAUCUUGUCUACUUAAUUAUAUGAACUUCCUGAAUUAAUGCUGGAAUGACAAACCAAGUUUUAUUGAAAAUGGAAACCUUCUUAGAAUCAAACAUUUGCUCGAACAAAUUUCGCAAUAAAAAGAGGAGAGUUGUGAAAAGAAGCAUUUUUCCUGCAGCCAAUUACCUUUUCAUACAUUACUUUAAAACAAAUUAACAAAUAGUGAUCUCAUAUUUUACCUUUUCUGUUGCAGAUUACUUUUAAAAAUAUUCUCUCCACAGGCACUCCUACGGAAUCUUUCUCCAAAUCAAACUGUACAUUUUACUCAAAUUUUAAUAUCUAAUUAUAAAUAAUUAUGGGUGAGAUUGCAAUCCUUUGCUUAGCUCUUUGAAAAUCUAUGAUGAUACUCGGUAUUAAUAUUUUAUUUUAUUAAAGAUAAAAAUAUCAAAAUAAUUUUAGAACUUUUUAGUGGGGAUAAUACUUCCCCAUUAGGCUGCUUACAAGGCAUAAAUUAAUAUUUUUUUAAUUUUAAUAAAAGCAAUUUGGUACAGUUGACUUGAUUGAUAACUAUUUAAGAUAGGAUUUAGACUAAUUUAGAUUAAUUAGAUUGCAUUUACAGUUCCGUUACCUCGAAACAAAGUUGGUGCAACAUUAACCAUGAUUAUGGUGAUAUAUUUUAGUUUUAUAUUUUUUAAGGGGAUAAUUUUUUUUUUUAAUGGUUUGAUGUUAGCUUAUAAGAAAAACCUAAACCAUAAAAGCCGAAUCUUUCCAAUAUUGAUCCAAUUUCUAUCAUUAAAAAUAUAUGAAUAAAACUUUUGAUCCUUAAAUAAAAGUAUACAAACUAUCGUACAAAAUAAUGGAAUCAAAUAUACAAAAUAAGAUUAAGGAAAUGUUUGAUAAAACUUAAUAUUUAUUAUUUAAUAAUUUAAAUUAACUCUAAGUUAAAUUAUAUUUAAGUUGUUGACUUAAAACUUAUUAUUUAAUUUUUAUUUUAAGUAUUAAGGUUAUUUAAAAAAAUUAACUUACAAUUUAUAUUAAAUCAUCAAAUUAAAAUAUUUAUCUUAAUAAAUUAUAACUAAGACAAAUAAGGUUAAAUAACAAUGGAGGUUGUGAAGUCAUAAAAGAGAUCAUAAAUGUAAUUGAGAGAAAAAAAGACAAAAAUAUAAAAUGAAGAUACUGACUUAAAAAUAAAUAAAUUUUUUUAUUUAUUAAGUCUUUUAUUUUAAGUCAUACAAUAAAAUUAUUUUAUCAAACAUAUUUAAUUUAUUUAAUAAUAUAAUUAAAAUAUUAAGUCACUUAAAGUUAUUAAAUUGGUUUACCAAACACGUACUAACGUACAAAUAAAUAAGACUAAAAUAGAAAACAAUGAAACUUAAACACAUAUAUGACAUGGUCUAUUUAAUUGUAUUUUUUUAUAAAUGCCUCUUUAAUACUUCCCAAAUCAUAACAUUAAAUUUCUUAAAUUGAUAUAAAACAUUUUUUUUUUUCUANNNNNNNNNNNNNNNNNNNNNNNNNNNNNNNNNNNNNNNNNNNNNNNNNNNNNNNNNNNNNNNNNNNNNNNNNNNNNNNNNNNNNNNNNNNNNNNNNNNNACAUAUAUGACAUGGUCUAUUUAAUUGUAUUUUUUAUAAAUGCUCUUUAAUACUUCCAAAUCAUAACAUUAAAUUUCUUAAAAUUGAAUUAUAAACAUUUUUUUUUUCUAUGAUUGAAUCAUUUAGCACUCCAAGUUUUACUAUUGGACGAAAUGUUAAGGAUCUAAUAAAUGGGUAACAUUAAUUUGCUGAAAUAGUUUUUCUUAUUACUUAUAAUGGUUUUAAGAAUGUUGAAAAAAAAAUUCAUGGGAAAACAUUUAUCAAACUCAAAUUUUGAUUCCUAUUUACUUUAUCUUUCCUUGUCAUGUCUCUUUCUAAUUUUCCUUUUUUAGCGGUUUGUUUAUUAGAACAGUAUAUCAUGCCUGUGAUUCUCUUUCUAUCACUUCUUUUCAAUUGAUUUGUUUAAUGCAAUAAUAUUUGUUUAAUGCAAUAAUAUAUCAUGUUAGACAAAAUAACACCUACCUACUACCCAAAUCCCCAAUGUGACAAUGAACUCUAUCUUUAAGCAUUAUUAUAAAAUUAAACGUAAAGGAUAUUAUAAGUUUCUUCCAUUCCACGUGCCUUUCCCAUAUAUUGAAAGGUGGAGGUUAUCAUUUUUAAAAGAUCAAUAAUUGUAAUGAAUUUUCCAUUCCACGUGCCUUUCCCAUAGAUUGAAAGGUGGAGGUGAUCAUUUUUAAAAGAUCAAUAAUUUUAAUGAAUUUCAUAUAUUUGCAUAUUUUUUAAGAGGGAAUUCAAAUUAACUCAUCUUAUUUCUCAAUGUUACGUAACUCCUGCCUCAAAUUAAAAUCAUCAUAUCAUUAUGAACAACUUUGAUACAACUAUUCAAUUUUUAAUAUGAAUUCUUUCAUUCUCAAAUCAUUGUUCAAGUUAGCUUUAUUAACUUAAAAAAACUCAUUCUUUGUCACUACUCCCUCUAUGAUUAUUAAAUGAUAAAAUUGUCAUUGUCUUAAAAACUAAUUUUGAUAAUAUAUUCAUCAACAUAUUUACAAAUUUAAAUUAAUACAAGUUGUAAGAAAUGUAUCAUAAAGAAGAUACAAAACUAGAAGUAGAUGAUAAUUAAUUAUUUUUUUUCUUUAUUGAACUUUGACACCCCAUCCAAAUGCAUUAACGAGAAAAAUAGUGUUUUAUGCUUGUUUUCAAUUAAUCUUGUCAAUAUGUACAUGAAAAACAAUGAUUUAUGCUUAUAAAUCUUAUCAAUUCGCUUAUUUGUAUAUGUAAAAUGAAAUUAUUGAAACUACACGUAGAAUUGCAUGAGGAAAAAAAUACAACUACUGCAUUUAUAAAUGAAUAAAAGCUUGGCUUAAAAUUCAAAAUUCUCAAAACUAUGUUUUCCACACCAAAAUAUUUCAUCCAGCCAACCAAACACCGAUUGAAUCCUCCCUCUAAAGCAUAUUGCCCAAGAUUACAGGCAACGUAGUAAUUACCUAGGCAAGUACGUCAGAAUUAUAGCUUCUUUUUUUUUUUUGUUUUUUUUCAGUUCAUUGACUCGGCUCCACCCAACCACUAUCAGUAUCAGUUACUACCAGAGAGGGUACUGGGUACUGGUUACUGGGCAGGAGCUUUUCCAAAUUCACAACCCGUCUUCUUUAUAUAAGGGCAAGUUUAUGUAUUUCCUCUCGCCAUUGCCUUUUGUUCGAAUCAUUUGAAGUUGAUUUUAUUAAUCCAUCAGAAAAACAUGGCUCUAACUGGUAAAUUGGAGAUUGAAACAGAGAUCAAAGCACCUGCUGAUAAGUUCUUUAAAAUCUUCAGGAGCCAAGCACACCACCUUCCUAAUAUCUGCUCCGAUAAAAUACACAAAAUCGAGGUACAUGAAGGUGACUGGGAGACUCAGGGCUCUGUCAAGCAUUGGAGUUACACCAUUGGUAGGAUAUGCAACUCGAACUCAGAACCCCAAAACACUAGCUAGCAUUAUAUUCCGUUAAAAUGUUUUUUGAUUUUUUUUCCCCAUUUCAUUGUUGUUUUCUUCACAUUUUUUUAUUCUUUUAGAAUAAAUGCAUGGCUCUUUGUACAAUUUUUCUUUUUUUCUUGCAAAGAAGUGGUCAAGUCUGGGCCGCCAGUGACUAUGAUCGAUGGUUCUUAGUAAUGUAUAUGGCAUCUAAUAUUAGCUUCAACAUAUUCCAAUUACUAGGAGGGAAUUCUAAGAGCAUUAAGGAGAGUGUGGAAUCAAUAGAUGAAGAGAACAGGUCCAUUACGUUCAAGGUUUCGGAUGGAGAGGUGCUGAACGACUACAAGAGCUACAAGUUCACCACACAAGCAAUACCAAAGGGAGAGGGCUGCUUGGUGAAAUGGACCAUUGAAUAUGAGAAGGCAAGUGAGGAUGGGCCAGAUCCCCAUGACUACCUGGAGUUUGCAGUUACUGUCACCAAAGAUAUCGAAAGUCACCUUCUCAAUGCAUAACACCAAGUCCAUACAUACCGUCUGCUAGUAUCUCUAUUAAAUAAAGUUUGGAACUUGGAAGGGCAUCUACGAUCUCUAUCCUUCAAUAUAUGCGAAGGCUUAGGGGAACUUUUAGCAGCUGUGGCUUGGUGAUUAAUGCUGAGAAGAUAAACUAGGUUUCCCUUAAUUAUUUGUGUAAUAAUGUUAGUGCAUGCGUGUAAUCGGUUGUAUGCUUGUCUGGACUCUAGGGGUUGCUUUGUGAUUGUUAAUUGGUGUCUUUUGUAAUGGGAUUACUACAUGUUAUGUGAAGACUAUAUGAUGUAUAAGGAAAUAAAGUGAAAAUUACCAGGGGCUAACUCCAUCAUGAGGAGCCUCUGAGUAUGUCCACAAGUCUACAUUCUUGCAUUCUAGUCACAUGUGUCAAAAUCAGACCCUAACAAAUUACAGUCUUGAUCAUUGAAGGGGUAAAAUCCCACUUUACAUAUAAUCUAAAUAAUUUAGCUAAAAUCUAAUAAGAAUAUCUCUCUCUACAGGUAUGUAACCUUCCAACCUUGAAUUUAAGGAUAUUUAUAUAAUUUAAAAUUAUAAAAAGAAAAUUUUGGAUAUAGGACAAAUUAAUUUUUUUUUUAAAAAAUAACGAAAGUGAAUGAAAUAUUUUUGGUUCCUAUGACCACCCACUUUUUUUACUUUUUAUUUUUAUCUCAUUUUAGUUUCUCCACGUUAUAAAAAAAUGAAAAGAUAAAAUAGAGAGGAAAAAAGACAACUUGGAUUUGUAGAAGUUUCUUUCUUUCAUGGUGUUUUUCUGUUCUGUUUUUGCCUUUGUUUCAUUCUAAAAGUCACUCACUAUCUUUAUCUCAUUUGGGUUUCCCCGCGUUAUCAAAAAAUGAAAAUAUAAAACAAAGAGGAAAAAAAAACCUAUACAAAGGUCUUUGGAAUUUUGAUUCAAAGACUUAAGAAAAGAAUAAUAAAUUUUUGCAUUUGUUCCGUUCUAAAAUUCAAGGUAAGUUUUUCACAUAUAAUUUUUUUUUAGGAAUUCUAUUAUCUAUUAAUUAUGAGAAUAGUAAAUAUAUAUAAUAAUAAUAAUAAUAAUAAUCAUCAUCAUCAUCAUCAUCAUCGUCAUCAUCAUUAUCAUUUUAAAACUAGUUAUUAGUGAUCCUAAUCAAUCGAGAACAAGUUGAUUUUCAUUACCCUUGGUAAUGGUAGUGAUAAAAUAUAUUUUUAGUUAAUAAGGGUGUAAUUAGCUUUGGGGUUUCAUUGAUUAGAAAUUAUUUCAUCUACUAGUAAAAAAAACAAAGUAAAACUAACCAUCAAGUGCAAAUCAUGAAUUUUUUUAAAUAUGAAUUGAGUAUACAAAGUAUAUUAUUUAAUUAUAUAUUUAAAUUGAAAGAGAUUAAUUUUUCAAAAAUAGUGAAUUUAAUCAUUGAAUCAAAUCAACUUACCUGUUAUAAAGAUGUGAUAUGUUCCAAAAUUUAGUUGUAUACAAUACGUGACCCUUCUUAUUAAACUAUCCUUUAUCAUUGAGCUAUCUAACUUACCUUUCUCAAUUAUUAUCCUUUAAGGUACAUCAAAUAUUGGUAUAAAUGAGAAGAGAUCGAGAUAUGAAAAGUAUUUCAAAUAGAAACAUCUUUAGAAUAGAUUUAUUUUUUAGGAUUGUUUACUUAGAUCAAGUUUAUUUUAAUUUCUAAAAUGUUUUUUUAAGUGUUUGAGAGAAUUAAAGUUAUUAUUUAGAUAUUUUAAUUAGUUUUGGAUUUGUUUGUUAAGGUCAUUCAUACAAAGAUGAUAUCCAUUUCUGUGUUAUAUUUUAUUUUAUUUAUUUAUUUCUUAUUUCAUGUAUUAAGUUUGAUAAAACUGAAGGUGAAAUCAACAUUGAAUUGCUAAAAAUGUCAAUUACUAUUGUUAAUUUAUCACAAUUAUGAUUUUUUAAUUGUAGCACAUAGUAAAAUUAUUAUUAUUAUUAUUAUUAAUAUUUAUACUCUGGUCGAACUUAUCCAUGGCCAAUCCAUCAUGUAGGCCAAUUUUGUCAAACUUAUCCAUGGCCCAUCCAUCAUGUAGGCCAAAUUUUUAUUAGCAUUUUUGGGUCAUAACUCUAGAUGCUGACAUUAAAGCAUUUCUGGCAUAAUAAUUAUUGGAAAAGGAUGUCUCCUCUUUCAUGGAUCACAACCAAUACAGCAAAGAUGAUGAUAGAUAGCAUCCUUAUCACCUCAUGUGUCUUGACCUCUUCUUCAAGCUUGAGUGUCUUGUCCUAUAUUUAACGCAUGUACCAUUGCCUCCAAGAUAUGGUGACAGGAAUUAUAUAGCUACUGACUAGCUAGUCUUCACUCCAAAAAUAUGAUGGCCACUUUUUUGAAAUAUAACUCUUUAUCCUAUUGACUUAAACUCACCACCUCUUUCAGAUCCUCCACAAGGAUCAACUUAUUAAGAGUUUGGUCGAAGUUUGAUCCACUUUUCUAAAUGAGCAAUGUUAAAUUAUUUUAUUCAAACAAAUUUGAUGAUCAAAUAUCUCUUAUUUUCUCAAAUUUAAAUAACAUUCCUUUAUAAAAAUAAUUAUAAAAUUUAUUAUAAUCACUCAUUUUCAAUGGCUCAUUAGUAGAUGUUCAUUGUAUUAAAAUACAUUUAUAUGAUUAAGAAAAACUUAUACAUUUCUAUUUUUUUUUUCUAUGCAUAAUUUAUAAUAUCUCAUAUAGGAUUUAUUGGGUUUAGAAACAUGUAAUAUUUAUAUAAUAGUGAGUGAAUUAUUAUAAAUGGUAUGAAAAUUGAUUUUCAACCCUUUAUGAGAAUUUAUUUAAUACUACAAUAUAUGACUCUAUGUUUGAUUAUGUAAUCCUAUAAGACACGAUGUCCAUUAAGUUCAUUAUAUUAUUUUUAAUUAUGUAAAAAUAUUUUAAAAUUAAAAAAAUUCAUUAAACUUAGUGCAGACGCUAUCUAUAUAAAAGGAAAUAAAUGGUUAUACUUCAUCAUAUUCGUUUCUCAUAUUUGAUAUAUAUCAAUUUCAGCGACUAUUAUUCAACAUUGCCCGAAGCAAUAGGUGCCUCACUUUUACAAAGAAAACUUCCUCUAUUGAUAUUUCUCAAAUAUAAAUUCAUGUCAUGGACUCAUGGUUAACAACCGAUAGAUCCUAAAACAAUUAGAUAUCUCAGAUAUUGAUUGACCAAAUGGACAACCGAUGCUAUAGUAAGAGCUGUUGCUGUUAUCUUUUAAUUUAAAUAUACACAAACGACAAAAUGCUUAACUAAUCCACCACCCAGGCGCCGGGCCACAGAAAUGAAAUACCGCCUACCCCAACAUUUUGGAAUUAAAAAUCUACACCACCCAGAUCUUGCUGUGAUUUGGUAAAUCCCGAGAAAUUGACAACCUUCCUACGCUGGGGAGGCGUGGUUCCAUUCAAUGCCAACAUUUUCGGAUGGGUCCAGAGAGUUGUACAGUGACUUUUAAAUAAAGAAUUGUUUUAAACCUUGACUUUGGGCUCUUUAUCAGGAAUAUGAAAAUAUUGGGCAAUGACUAGAUUCGAGAGCAGGUUGCAUGCAUAGAUAUCGCAUUAAUUUUUAGCAAUCGUUAUGACGAAAGAAAAUCUGCAGAACCAAGCGAAUUUUCCUAGUCAUCAUGAGAGACAUUAGACAAGGUUUUCAAUUCAUAAAAUUGCCUUAUCAUCUGGAAUUAAAUAUUUUCAAGCUAAGGAUGAGGUUCAAUCCGUACGGGGCAAUGAAAAUAUAUGGAUGCCCUAUAGAGUGGUUGAACAUUCUACAGUUUCGUCCCUAUUUAUAGAAGAAGAUGAAAUUUUAAGCAAUUUGCUUCAAUGCAAUUUUAGCAUAUUUCAGCUAGUCAUAGCAACGUCUAAUUUCGUUGAUGUAGAAGAAGCUAACACCAAAGAUUCAUCUAGGUAGAAAGAAGUAUCGAGCAUGUAACUAACCGCAGAACUCACAUCUAGGGACCCUAUUGUAAAUAUAACAGGUGAUGGACAUAAAGAUAGAUAUGAGUAAAAGAGUGGAACAUAAAAUCCAAAUUUCAAAAGUAUGAUAGUUUUUUAGUGUUUCUUUGAAUCUCGUAGGAAUUUAGGUCAUUUUCAAUCUCAUCCAUGAGACAAGGUACAAUAAUUGUUGAAGAAUAAGAGUAUUGUUGGGCAGUUCGGCGAGCUAUAUAUAAAGAGAGAGACUUCUUAACCAUAUAAAUAUUAUCCUCUAUAACUCUAAAUUUUUUUUUCCUUUAUCCAAUAUAAAAUAUCACAAUCACUUUUAUGUAUGCACUCUUUUUAAUCACGUCGCAUAAAAUUACACCAUUUUCAAAGCUAAAUAAACUCCUAUAUAGGGGUCAUAUAUUGACUUCAAUACUCUUUGAAACGACUCACACUUAAUCAUAUAAACUCAUUAUAAUAAUGUAUUUCCUAAUUUCAUGGAAUUUCAAUAAAAUAUUUAUUACUUUCAAAUGGGAAUUAGAGAGGAAUGUUGUCUAGCUAACUCAUAAUUCUUCUUUAUAAGUUCAAAUUAGGUAUUUACUUCUUCCUACCAUUACCUCAUAUUUUGAUUGUUUCUUCGUUAAUAUAUAGUUGGUUAAACUAAUAAACUAGAGGUUAGGAUGGAGAUCAAUUUAGAUUAUGUUUGUUUUGAGUUUAAUAAACCCUUACGACUUUAAAAUGUGUUUAGAUAGUUAAGAGAAACUUAUACAUAUAUAAUAUUAAAAAAAUUUCCUCAUUUAAUGUGAGAUAUUAUAAUCAUCACUCAUGUAGACAUAAUAUAUUUGUUGUAAGUCAGAAGAUUGUAAAACCAAACAAAUUUUUUCAUUGAAAUAUAAUAUUAUUUGUAAUGGUUCACUUUCUCUCAUGGAUCCCAACUCCAUUAGGUUCUUCAUGAAGCUUGUUUCAGUUUAUUAACCACCGAUGUAGCAAAGAUGAUGAUAAGUAGUAUUUUUGUUUCUCAUAUGUUUUCAGACCUCAUCAAGCUUGAGUGCCUUAUCCCAUCUCUAACGCAUGUACCAUUGCCUCCAAAAUAUGUUGCCAGAUUAUACAUAAUAUCAUAAUUAUAGCUACUGAAGUCCAACGACUACCUAGCUAGUCUUCACUCCCAAAAACAUGAUGGUCACUUCUUUGAAAUAUAACUCUUAUCCUAGUGACUCAAACUCACCACCUCAUUGACAUCCGUCAUAAGAAUUUCAGAGACUCUUCAAAGUUUGAUCCACUUUUAUAGAUGAAUAAUGUAAAAUUCUUUUAUUCAAACAAAUUUGAUGAUCAAAUAUCUUUUCUUUCCUAAAAAUUAUAUUUCCUUUUUAUAAAUCUUAUUUUAAUGACCCAAUUACAGUAUGGUAGAUAUUGUUUGUUUCGAGUCCAAUAAACCCUUAUAACUUUAAAAUAUGAUUAAAUAGUUAAGAGAAACUUAUAAAUAUAUAAAUGUGAGGUCAAAUAAAUUUUCAUAUUGAGAUAAAAGAUUAACUUUAAUACUAUUUGUAAUGGUUUACUUUCUUUCAUGUAAACAUCAUCCACUUUAUACUCAAUGAAUCAUUGAAGCUUUAAAACAUAUUUACAUGAUUAAAAGAAACUCGUACAUAUAGUAUUAGAAUUUUUUUUUUCUGACCCAUGAUUUGCAAUAUAUGUAUAAAUACGUUUUAAAGUUAUGAGGAUUUAUUAAGUUCAGAGUAAAUAGUAUUUAUAUUAAAUGGAAUGACAUGUCACAUGCAAAUAAUAUCAAACUCAAUCUCCAAUUUUUAUAUAAGAGUUUGUUUGAUUUUAUAAAAAAUGUUUGUGUGUUUCAUUCUACAAUUCUGUGAGACACAACAUCCAUUUAAUUUAUUAAAGUCUUUUUAACUAUGUAAACAUGUUUUAAGUUGUUAAGAUUGAUUGGGUAAAAACAGAAGAGGUGAUUGUGUGUUUUAUCCUACAAUUCAAUGAGGCAAUGCCUAAUUGAUUCAUUGGGGUACUUUUAAUCGUUAAUGCAUGUUUCAAUGUUGCUAAGAUUGAUUGAGUGAGGAAAAUAUCUACAUAUGAAAGGCAACAGUUAGUUACACUUCAUUAUGUUUUUUUCUAAUAUAUUGAUAUAUGUCAAUUUCAGUAGUUAUUAAUUCAACAUCGCCCAAAGUAACCAAUGCCUCGCUUUUCCAAACAAAACUUUCUCUAUUGAUAUUUCUUAAAUAUAAAAUCAUGUCAUGGUAAGCAUCCGAUGGAUACUAAGACAAUUGGAUAGAUAUCUCAGAUAUUGAAUGGACCAAAUGGGGUAACGGAUGUGGUAGUAUACAAGCGCUGUAUAUCUUUUAAUUUAGAUAUACACACACAACGUAAUGCCUAAUCCAUCCAGCCGGGGGGCCGGCCAGAGAGAUAUAAAAUACCCCCAAUCCCAUCAUUUUGUAUUUUGUAUUGGAAUUAAAAAUCCAAACCCAGAUAUUGCUAUGAUUUGGUAAAUCCCGAGAAAUUGAGAACCCAUCCUGGGGGAGGCAUGGUCCCCCUAUUCAAUGCCAACCCUAUUUUCAAAUGGUGUCUAAAGAGUUGUACAGUUAACGGUGACUUUAAAAUAAAGAAUUGCCUUAAACCUUGAUUUUAGGCCCUUCUUCAAGAAUAUGAAAAUGCAUGUUGGGCAAUGAUUUAGAUUCGAAAGUGGGUUCUGCAGACAUCACAUUUCUGCAGAGCCGAAAAUAUUUACAAGCGUAGGACGAAGCUCAGUUCAGAUGGGCCUCGAAGAUGAAUUUUUAAGCAAUUUGCUUGAUACAUUCAGCAAUUGAUAAUUUAAAAUAAAAAAAAUUAGGAAAUAGAAAGUAAAACAUAUAUGGUUAAAACUUCAAUGCAAUUUUAGCAUAUUUGAACUAGUCAUAGGAGCGUUUAAUUUCUUUGAUGAAGAAGCUGAACACCAAAGAUUCAUCCAGGUAGAAAAAUGUAUUGACCAUCUAAUUGUCUGCAGAACCUACAUCUAAGUACCCCGCUAUAAAUAUAAGAGGCAACUUAGGUGAGGGACAUAUAGACACAUACGAAUGCCAUUGUAGAAUAUAAAAUCCAAAUUUCUCAAAACUAUAAGGUUAUGUUUGAAUCCAAAAAAAUAUUAGAGGAAGUGAAAAUGUUAAGAAAAAUAAUUUUUUAUGAUUAAUUUUAUUAUAAAAAAUAUAAAAAAUAAAUAUAAUUAAAAUUAGUUAGAAUUUUACAUAUUUUUAAAUUAUAUAAUUUGAAUUUAAAUAAAUAUAUAAAAAUAAGUCAUUAAUUUUAGAUCUAUUUCUUUUUUCUUUUUUUAUAUUCUCCCACAAAAUUUCAGUAACCGAACACAACCUAAUAGUUUCCACUGUUUCUUUGAAUUUCUCAACUUCAAAAUCUCUUGUCUAUGAGACCUCAGAGUAAUUAAUUCCUACCUCUUGGUGACUAGGCCAAGCGCAUGGAUAGGCACAUUGACCCACUUGUAAUUGCCUAGGCUAAUAGGCCAAGCUCAUAGCAAUUUUCCUUUUUUAUUUUUUAAUUUCGUCGUAGGACUUGGUCUCCACAAGGCACUAUAACGUAUCCCCUAAUUUCAUUUCAUGGAACUUUAAUAAAAUAUCUAUUGCUUUCAAGUGGGAACUGGAGAGCAACGUUGCCUAGCUAACUCACAAUCCUUCUAUAUAAGUUCAAGCUAGGUAUCUUCUUCCUUCCACCACUGCCCACUGCCUUGUAUUAGGAUAUCGUUUCUUAGUUAAUAUAUAGUUGAUUAAUUUCCAUCUCCAACUACUACUAUUAUUAGAAAAAUAUGGCUCUAACUGGCAAGCUAGAGGUUGAAAUGGAGAUCAAUUCACCUGCGGAUAAAUUCUAUAACAUCUUCAGGAGGCAAGCACACCACAUUCCUAAUAUCUGCUCAGAUAAAGUACACCAAAUUGAUGUACAUGAAGGUGACUGGGAGACUCCAGGCUCCGUCAAGAACUGGGGUUAUACUCUUGGUAAGGCAACCACAACUCAAACCCCAAAACCCUAGCACUAUUAGUCUGUAAAAAAAAAUGAUUUUUUUAGUUUUUCUAUUUCAUUUAAUUGUUUUUUUGUUUGGCAUUUUCCCCUUUAGAAUAUUAAUUUAACUGCAUUAAUUCGGAGUUGAUCCCAUCAUGUGGAAGUUUAUGCUUCUGUUAUGAAUACAGCUUUGUAUGCCUUCCUUAUGUUUAAUUCAACCUAAAGCAUGUAGAAUUGAUGGUCAAAGUCUAUGGGACCCUUUUUUCAUGACCGCCAUGCAUGGGGCUUUCCCAGGUGACUGCCCGCUACUAAAGGGGCCUAAAGUUUAGGUCCCCCGAGUUAGAACUUAGAAGAGGGAUUAUGAAUGAUCAGUGAAGUUGUAAGGUUUUGAUCUUCUUAGAUAUUACCUAGAAAGAGGAUUGACUUUACUUGACUUUUACCAUAUUGAUUUAGAGAUUGGCGAUUGCUUUAAAAGGUUGUGUCAACAGAAGAAAACUUAAAAAAUAUUAAGAAAAAUAAAAAAAAUGAUUUUGUUUUUAUAAAAAAAAUCAAAUAUAAUAAAAACGAGUUGAAAUUUUAUUUAUUUUUAAAUUAACUUUUAUAUAGAAGAAUUAAAAUACGUUAAGUAAAUUUGAAUCAAAAUAUAAAAAUAAUUAAUUUCUUAAUUUUAAAUUUAUUAUUUUUCUUUUAACUUCUUUUUUGUUUUUUCAUUUUCUUUUCUUUUGUAUUUUCUUCAAAUUUUUUUAGAACCAAAUAUAGUCAUUAUGAAAAGAUGGGCCACGAAGUGACUACGCAUGUCAAUUUGCUUGAGAUUUCGCAAUCUAGUAGUUUCAAAAUACUAUGCUUAACCCCUUGUUUUGGUUUGAAAUUACUAGGAGGGACUUCUAUGAGCCUUAAAGAGACUGUGGAAUCAGUAGAUGAUGAAAACAAGUCAAUCACUUUCAAGGUUGUGGAUGGAGAGAUCAUGAACCAUUUCAAGUGCUUCAAGUCCAACUUGCAAGUAAAAGCAAAGGAUGAGGGCAGCUUGGUGAAAUGGAGUCUGGAAUAUGAGAAAGUAAAUAAGGAUGUCCCAAAUCCUGAUGCUUACCUGGAGUUCGCAGUUAAUGUUACUAAAGAUAUUGAAAGCCACUACCUCAAGGCAUGACACCAAGGCCAUGUGGUAUCCUCGGUAGUAUUACUUCAAUAACGCUGGUGUUUGUAAUUUGGUUGAGUUGUAUGCUUUACCAGGAGUGGCCUUGUGAUUGGCUGGUUUCUUUUGUAAAGGCAUUAUCAUAUAUGAUGUAAAUACUGUACCUUAAAUAAAAAGAAAAUCAGCAAAGACCCUCCUUUUUAAUGUGGAUAAUUGCUUUUAAUGUCACCUUUGUUGAUCGGUUUACAAGACAAGAGUUAACAAGUAGUCCCUAUUUAUUAAAUAUAAGAAUUUUCUGUAUCCAUUAAUCAUCAUCAGUAAGCUAAUAAAAUGGCUGAUAUUUUUCUUAAUAAAAACAGCAACAGUUACUGAGUUUAUAUAUAGGACACCAGUUGCAGAUUAGAUUUCUUUGGCUUGAUUGUGAUCUUUCUACAUGUUGGAAAAAUAUUGUCAUUUGGUAUUUAAUAUCAAAUUUUAAAAAUAAUAUUUAAGAUAUGAAGAAAAAAACAUACAAUGAUUCAUAUUUUUAACUUUAAUAUGAUUUAAAGUUCAUCGAGUAACCGUUUUGAAAUCAUUCACCCUUGAUCUUCACUUUCCUAGUCUCCCUUUACACGUUCCUUAGUGGUGAGUAUGAAAAUGAUUCCAUUGAAUUGUAAGAAUGGAAAGAGGGAUAAAAAAUUCUUCUAUUUAUAAGCAUAGAAUGAUUCUUCUUAUCAGUGAACCAUUAACUAAAUACUUUAAACAUAUUAUUAAUUAAUAAUAAUAAUAAUAAUAAUUAUUAUUAGAAAAUAAAUUUCAUAAAUAUUAUAAAUUUAAAAAAGAAUCUAAUUUAAUUCUUAAAAAAUUUAUGCAUGAAAUUUUUAUAUUAUUUUUAAUUGUUUUCUAAGGGUUAUUUUAAGAAAUUAUUAUACAAACAUAUAAAAUAAUUAAAAAUAAAACAAUAGAUAUAAAAAUUAUUUUUAAAAAUAUUAAAAAUAAAUUCAAAAUAUUUUAAGUUGCCAAACAAAUUUUUUAUUCUACAAAAAUCAGAGAUAGUUUUCAAAAUCUCUUUUAAAAAACUAUUUUUCAGAAUUAUUUUAAAAAAUAGUUACCAAACAAGCCCUAAAAGAUUUAUAUAUAUAUAUAUAUAUGAAAUUAAAAAAAUAUCAAAUAAUAAAAAUUCAAACAAUGGUAAGGGUGUCACUAAUGAUCGGUUUGGAUUUAAACUAACAUUUUUUUAUAUUGAGUAAUUUAUUUUUUAUUCUAUAUAUUAGAAAAUUGAAUUUAAAUGUAACUUUUUCAAAUAAAAUAGUUAGAUCACACUUGAUAUAUAGUAAUAAUUUUUUAAAAACUAAUGGUCAUAAUUUAAAAAAAUGAUGAAAAAAAAAUCUCAAAUAUAUUGCAUAUGAAUGUAUAUAUUUAGUUUUAUACAACAUGUUAGACAUAUAUUAGUUAUUAACUUAUUAUAAUCUACUAAAAUAUUAAUUCUAUACGAGGGGAUUAGAUUUCUCAUUGUUGAUUUUAUAACCCUCAUUGUGGGAUUAUAAAAUGUCAUUGCAAUCACUCCCAAUUUAGUCUAUGCAAAUCAAAUAUAGAAAUGCAAUUUAUCUCUGUCACAAUUUGUUACACAAUAAUGAUAAUGGAUAAUAAAUAAAUAAAUAAAUAAAAUUAAAGAACACACAUUUAUGUAUAAAACUUUAGAUGAGAAAAAUCAUGGAUAAGGAAAAUGAAUAUCCAAUAUAUCAAAAGAUUGGUAUAAAAGAUGAGAAAUAUAAACAACUAUGAUAAAAAUAUAAUCAUCAUAACCUUAAAAUUAUGUGAAAGUAAUUAACAAAGUAGGUCCAUACAUAAGGACAAAGAGCCCCCUCAAAGGUAUCAAUGGUGGGGGUGUGGGGUGUGGGAUCGGAUCAAAUUCCAACGUUAUCAAUGGUAGGCUAGGGGAUCGGAUCAAAUAGAAUUUGGAUCGCCAAACCUUAAUACAUUUUAUGCUUUUUCUUAUUGGUUUAGAUUUAUGAUAAUCUCCUCCACCAGCAAAAUAAAGUUAUACCGGAGGAUUUUCUUUGUUUUGGCUGUCACACUUUCACUUCUUUGCUAAUAGCCUAACAUCAAAUGAGAAAAUAGAGACAUUUUAAAAAUGAGAACAAAUUCUCGAGGAUUUAGUUGUCUGCCACUAGACUAUAAAAAAUGCUUUCCUGUUAUUUUACCCCCUAAAAUAAGUUUGAUACAAUGCAUCUAUUUUCUGGCUCCGACAAUGUUUAAGAAUACAUCAACCGACCUCAAACCACAUUAUUUCGGUUUGAAAAGAAGGCUUUAUUAUGUCAGUAUGGCUGCUAAGAAGACUUUUGGAAUAUAAUAAAACAAGUCCAGCGAGUUGAUGGUUUGGAAUCGAGAGAUCAUGAAUGAUUUCCCUACUUUAGAGUCAAUAAUUAAGUGGAAUGUGAGAAGGUGAAUGAGGAUGGCCCGGGAUCCAAUGCUUACUAAACUAUUGAAGAUCACCUUCCUGAGGCAUAAUUCCAUUACUUUUCAUCGACGCUGCGAUGCUAUAAAAGAAUAUUAUAAAAAUGCAAGGGUAAUGAAAUAUUGUACAGCCUUUACCGUAUUGAAGAACGUGGACUGAUUGCUAGGGUACCCAACACCCACCAUAAUUCCCACACCAACUCCCAACCAACCCGAUCACGUAGGGCCUCACAUGGCCUCAUUAUCAUUUAUGUGGAAAGAUAAUGCUAAACUAUAUACGGGAUGGCCAUUCUACCAGCCAACCUGUAAUGAUUUUGAUAAAAGUAUACUAAAAAUAGAAGGAGAAAUUAAGUUAUCAUUUGAUAACGGUUUUUAAAAAUUGUUUUUAAUAUUUUAUAAAAUAAAAUUUUAUUUAGAAAUACAAAAUAUUUUUAACUUAUUUUUAAUAUUUUAUAUGUAUAUAUAUAUAUAUAAAGAGAGAGCGCUUUAUUUUUAAUUAUUUUUCAUAUUUAUAUAAUUAUUUUUUAAAACAAUUUCAAAAAAACAAGUGAAAAUAACUAAAAAAAUAUUCUUUGAGAUAAAGAUCAAAAAACAUAAAAUAGUUUUUUUUAUUAUCAAACAUGUUUUAUGUUUUCUAAUCUGUGUUUUUUUAAUUUGUUUUUUGUUUUCAAAUCUUAAGAUCACUUAAUUUUUUAGGGUUUUUUUUAAGAAAUAAUUAUAUAAAUAUAUAAAAUAAUUAAAAAUAAAAUAUUAGACAUAAAAAUUAUUUUUAAAACAUAUUUAAAAAUAUUAAAAACAAGUUUAAAAUAUUUUAAGUUAUAAAAUAAGCUUUUUUUUUUUUACAAGAAUCAUAAAAUAAUUUUUAAAAACUAUUUUAAAAUAUUAUUUUUGAAAAUAAUUAUCAAACCCCUUAUUUUCUAUUCUCAAAAAAUGUUUUUUAAUUAUCAAAUGUGGUGUCUAUUUAAAUUUAAGAUUUUAAAUUUUAAAUUUAGUUAUUUCCAAGUUAUGAUCUCUUGAUAUUAUUUCAACCUAUUAUUUAUUUAUUUGUUUGUUUUUCACAUAAAUAAACUAAAAUUCAAUUGUAUAACCCAGUAUGAAUCACGUGGGCCCUUAGUGAGGCUGGCUACAACUAAAUCAACGUUCUUUUGAUAAUCGAUUGCCUAUGAAAGAAAUCAUCACGCCUUACACACAAUAGAAUAAAUUAAUAAGAAAGUAAGAAGAUUAGAAAGAAAAGCAUCUUAGAGGAAGGGUUUUUUUUUUUUUAACUUCUUGGUGGUGACACUGGAUGGGCUUUUGAUAAUUGUACGACGAAUUUAAAAUUAAUGUUUUAAAAUACGGUAUUAAAAAAUAUUUUCAAAUUUAUGGUACUUUUUACCACUUUGAAACAUGUUUCUUAAAAAAGCAUAUUUCAUCGUUUUUAUAUUAAUGAUACACAUUCAAAAAAAAAAAAAUUAAAGGUGUCUUUUUGAAAUAUAUUUUUCAUAAUUUUUAUAUCAAUAACACACAUUAAAAAAUUUUGAAUUUAUAUUAAAAGUGUCUCUUCAAAAAACACAUUUUAUAAUUCCAUAAAAUUAAAUUUAUAUUAAAAGUGUCUUUUAAAGAUAUACUUUUUACAAUUUUCAUAUCAGUUAUAUAGUGAAAAAAUUGAAUUUAUAUUAAACAUAUUUCUUUAAAAGACAUUUUCUACAAUUUCAUAAAAUUAAAUUUAUAUUAAAGGUAUCUCUUUCAAUAAUUUUUGUAUCAAUCAUCCAUUGAAAUAAUUGAAUUUAUACUAAAAAUAUCUUUUUAAAAGACACCAUCCAUAAUUUCAUAAAAUUAAAUUUAUAUUGAAAUGUUUCUCUUUAUACUUUUAAUAUAAAUUUAAUUUUUUUAUAGGUGAUUAAUAUAAAAAUUAUGAAAAGUAUUUAUUUAAAAAAUAUUUAUUAUAAAUUCAAUUUUAUAGAAUUAUAAAGACGUCUUCAACGUAAAUUCAAUUAUUUUUUCAAUGUGUAAUUGAUAUGAACAUUAUGAAAAAUGUCCUUCAAAAGACACUUUUAGUAUAAAUUUGAUUUUAUGGUAUUAUUAAAAGUAUAUUUCUUUAAUAUAAAUUCAAUUUUUUAACAUGUAUAACUAAUGAAAAAUUAUAAAAAAAUUAUAUUUUGAAGAGAUAUCUUUAAUAUAAAUUCAAUUUUUUAACAUGUAUAACUAAUGAAAAAUUAUAAAAAAAAUUAUAUUUUGAAGAGAUAUCUUUAAUAUAAAUUCAAUUUUAUAGAAUUAUAAAAGAUAUCUAUUGAAAAAAUACUUUUAACAUGUAUCAUUGAUAUGAAAAAUAUAGAAAAUAUCUUUUCAAAAAACACUUUUUAAAAUGGUAAAAAGUACCAUAAAUUUAUCAAAAGUUUUAUAACUAUCAUAGAAAUUUUUUUCAAAAGUUCCAUUUUUUAAUAAUUAUUUUUUUAAAUAGCCGUACAAGUUAUAUAAAAAAAAACCCGAUACUCCAUAAAAUGUGAUCAAGUAGGAUUUGCAUCAUGCAACCUCAUACAAAUAAUAAAAAGCAUAAAUCACUUGAAACUUGAAAGUGAUUGGAAUUUGGCAGACUCUAGCUAGCUAGGUUGCCAUAAAUGACAUGGGUCAGUGGCCGACACCCACCAAACCCAGCACUUAAUAAUAUAAUUAAUAUACUAUUAUUAUAGAACCAUCGUUUUCAGGAUAGGGAGCAUCAAAUUAACCUCCCCAAGUCAAACUGCACAAUUUGUUUCAUCGAAAUCGAAUAUCUAAUAAUGAAUGAUUAUGGGUGAGAUUGCAAUCCGCCAAUCCUUUGCCUAGCUCUUUGAAAAUCAAUGAUGAUGCUUAGUAUUAAUAUUUUAUUUAUCUUUUUAAUAUGAAAAUAAAAAUAUCAAAAUAAUUUUAAACUUUUUUCGUGGAGAUAAUGCUCCCCAGUUAAGCUGCUUAUAAGGUAUAAAUUAAUAAUAACCUUUUAAUUUUAAUAAAAGCAAUUUGAUACAUAUCACAUCUUAAUUCACUUGAGUAAUAACUAUUUAAGAUUGGAUUUAGGUUAACUUAGAUUAAUUAGAUUGUAUUCAGGUUAAUUAAACCAUAAUCAUAUUAUUAUCAACAAUUUCUCACAACUAUCCUAUUUUUAAUAUGAAUUAUUCCUAGUUCUCAAAUUAUUGUUUAGGUAGUUUUAUUAUCUUAAAAAACAUCUUUUUUUGUCAUUGGUUCUGCAUGGUUAUUAAAUAAGAAAAUUAUAAUUAUCUUAUCAACUAAUUUGAAGACUUUUCACAAAUUCAUACUUUAAAAACCUCUUUCUUUGUCGUGGGUCCCUACAUGGUUAUUAAAUAAUAAAAUUGUAAUAAUUUUAUCAAUUAAUUUGAAGACUUUUCACAAAUUUAUACAAUACUAGUUAUCGGAAAUGUGUCACAAAGAAGAUGCCAAGCUAAAAGCAAAUCAUGAUUCAUUAUUUUUUUUCCCAAUUGGAGCUCGAUGACCCAAUCCGAAUGCAUUAACAUCAAAAUUAGUGUUUUAUACUAUUUUCAAUGAACCUUGUCAACAUGAUCGUGAAAUGAUUUAUGAUUAUUUUCAAUAAACCUUUCAUCGAAACUAUGUGUAGAACUGCAUGAAUAAAUAAGAAAUUUUCAUAGUUACAGAUUUGCAUUAUCUCACUCUAUAUGAUUUUAUAUAGUUUUUUUUUUAAUACUUCUGCAACAUUUCUUUAGAAAAAAUAUUGUAUCAAUAAAUUCAGUAAUUUUCAUCAAUUUCAAUCUUAUAAUUAAAUGAUACUUCUGUCAUGUAUAUCACCAUACGUGUCACACUUCAUUCAAGAUCAGGUUGAUUAGUCAUGUAUACCUGCUCCAUUAAUAAAGUAUUAAGUUUUUAUUUUAUUUUAUUAAAAUAAUAAAUAAAUAAUAUAAUUUUUUUUUAUUAGAGGUAGUUAGGUAUCAUUAAAUGAUUUGUUGUCCUGCCAUGUCCCCAAUUAAUAAUUUUAUACUUUUCAUUUUUUUCAAAGGAUUUAAAAUAUAAAAUAUUAAAGAUAAAAUAUCUGAAAGUACCGCUUCCAUACCCAAUCAAAUUUUAAAUCUAAAUUAUUGACAUGUGAGUGAAAUUUGGACUAUUAAAUAAAAAGUGAAAAAAAAAUAAAAUAAUAAAUAAUUAAAAAUGUUCCUGCAAGGAGAUGUGACUAAGGUUAAAAAAGGAGGGGAUAAGGAGCGGCUAGGAAUAUGUAAACAAAAUUCAAAUAAUUAAAAAACGAAAUGAUAACUUCUCAAUGAAAUUGAAUGUUUCAGUUCUAAAAUCCAAAACAAAAACUAUAGUGAAAGAAAAAUUUGAGAAAAUAUAGCAUGGUCUUCUCUUUAAUGAUUGAUAAAUAUUUAUAUAUAAAUAAAGUUUAUUUUCCAUUAUAAUUUAGAUUAGUCGAGUCUUGUUUUCUACUCAAAUUCAAACUUCACAUUUUGUUAUAAUUUAAUCUAAUAAUAAUUGUUUUCACAAGACAAGCUGAAGUUAUCCAUUAAAAUACAACUUUUAAUUAAUAGUUUAAAAAAUAAGAUAAAUUUGAAAAUAAUUUUAAAAUUUAAUAAGUAUAUAUAUUUUUAAAUAGCAUUUUUUUUUUUAAAUUGCCAAAUCUAUGCUCAGAAAAGAUCCACAAAAGUUGAUCAACAAAAGAUACCGAACAGGAAGUAGAUGAUAAUCCAUUAUUUUCUUCUUUAUUAAAGUUUGACAACCCAAUCUGAAUUCAUUAACGUGAAAAGCAGUGUUGUAUGCUCAUUUUCAAUGAACCUUGUCAACAUGCACGUCAAAAACAAUGAUUUAUUAACUACGUACAUGUAGAAUUCCAUGGGAAAAAAAAAAAUACAAUUAAGGCCUUGGGAGAUGAAUAAAAGCUUAACCUAAAAUUCAAAAUUCUCAAAACCAUGUUUUUUCACACCAAAAUGUUUCAUCCAGCCAACCUAAGACCGAUUGAAUCCUCCCUCUAAAGCACAUUGCCCAAGAUUACAGGCAACGUAGUAAUUACCUAAGCAAGUACGUCAGAAUCAUAGCAAUUUUUACCAAAGUGGGUAUCGGGAAGGAGCUUUGCCUAAUUCAUUCUUCGACAAGGUUAUCUACUUCCUCUCGUCACUGCCUUCUGUUUGAAUCAUUUGUAGUUAGUUUUAUCAAUCCAGCUAGUGUUAUUAUCAGAAAAACAUGGCUCUAACUGCUAAAGUGGAGACUGAAACAGAGAUCAAAGCACCUGCUGAUAAGUUCUUUAAACUCUUCAGGAGCCAAGCACACCACCUUCCUAAUAUCUGCUCCGAUAAAAUACACAAAAUCGAGGUACAUGAAGGUGACUGGGAGACUCAGGGCUCCGUCAAGCAUUGGAGUUACACCAUUGG
rnacentral:lncRNA from 1 species